GAAUUCAUCUGACUUUUGUACAAAUACUUUAAGGAGAGUGAACUCAUGCCCUGAAAGUACUUAUUUCUUUCUGGUGACUUUUAAGUUGAACACUGAAGUCUGUGUUGGUCAUCUAAAUCCUGUCUCUACGGCACUAAUCAAAAGACUGGACUUGGGGAAUGCCAGAGGGGAUCUUAAGACUAAAAGACAACUCCCAGUUUCAAAAUUACUGUAGUGGAUGAGAAGAUAACACUUCGCUUCAACAGAAGUUUCAAUAUUGCCUGAAUCUCACAUAGUACUUCCCCUUGUUUCCUAAUCCAGAGGAGGGAGAGGAUCUGAAAACCAUGGAGAUGGGGCUUUCCCUGCAUUUCCAAGUAGUAUGAAACAGAAUUUUACAGUACAAUGAAGGUCCCCUCAAAACAAAAGAAGCCAAAACCUUCCACUGAAGUCAAAGAGGAAGAGCAAGGUGUGGAAAAAGGACAGUUACCAUUAUUCCCGUUUCCAUCCAUACAUAAAAAAUACCUAUCCAAAGACUGCUACAGCUGGUAGGAGAUUUCAUGUUCAGUGGGUUUCAGAGGGGAGGGUUACUAAAAUUAAGGCAGUGUUUGCGAGUGAUGUUGUGCAACAAGCUGCUGAGAGCUGAGCCGAUGGCAAGAGUGAGUUCCUGCUGCAGUUCCCCUUUGACAAAAUCAGUGGAAACAUUUCUUCCCUUCACAAGGUCACUGCUCCACUGGACUGAAACAACAAAGUGGAUUAUUAAUGCUAUGUAAUCCCAAAGAGGCUAAGGAUCUCUUGACCCAUGAAACUCACUGGUUUGUGGAUCUGCAAUUAGGAUGCAACUGAUGAGAGCAGAAAUAGAAGUGUAGGAGAGAGGAAAGGAGGCUGUCAAAAUUACGAAACAAAGUAUGCCUUUUCUGAGCACUACACUUGCCGUUCUUAUUAGUGGAACAAUACAAGUUUCAACUUCUUUUACUGAAAGAAAUCAGUCUUGCUUCCUUCGUGGUGACAUAUUCCUCACUAUUUAGAAACACAGAAAAUAUCUUUUCCUUUUGCAUCCCUGCCCUCUUAGACAAGAGUCUCAGGUAGUCAAUCCCACUCCAGGUGCAGGAACAAAUUCUCACCUAGCAGUACCUGCUCUUGCAGGCCACAGUCUCUCGGAAGACAGUUCAGAUCCAGGCAUAGUAUUAUUGCUACGACAUUACUGGUAUUCUGAUGACCACUUAGGAUUGUAUUGCCAAUUAGUAAAAUUAUCUGAUGCUUUCCAGUACCAGAGCCCAUUUUAAUUCUCUGCAUUUGAACUUACCUAGAAAUUUGCUGUCUGCAAUGAUAUUUUCUAUAUCUAGCAUCUGCUUUUGCCUGAUUUCCCAUUUUAGUUUGUUAUUGUUGUUGCUUUUAAUAUUAACCACUAAGUGCCUCAGUUAUUUCUGAAAAUAAGAAGCAGCUUUAUCUAUGAGGAUGUAUUUUGCUUUCAAAAGUACCUGCUGUCUCUUCAAGAGAUUUUUUUUUUUUCUCCCACCAAGCAGGAAAAACAUUAGUGAUCUCCACAAAUCUUUGUUAUUUUUAUUAUUAAUCAAGCGAAGUGUUGUUUAUAACAGUAUAAGCCACUAGUAGUAUCAUAGUAUGGUUUGGGUUGGAUCAUCUGGUUCCAACCCCGCUAUUAUGGGCACGAACACCUUCCACUAGACCAGGUUUGUCCCUCUAACCUGGCCUUGAACACUUCUACAACUUCUCUGGGCAACGUGUUCCAGUGUCUCACCACCCUCAUGGUGAAUAAUUUCUUCCUCAUAUCAAACCUAAAUCUAUUAAUAGUAAUAUUUUGAAUAUUUUUGGUGUAUGCUUCACUCUUCUGCUUCAUUUUUUUUUUCUAGUCUAAGCAUCUCUCUAUUUAGAAGCAAGAAUCAGCACAUCUCAGCUACUUUCCUUUCUUAUUAACCUCUCUCUCCAGCUAUCCAUGUUUAAAGCUAUUUGCACAUUUUCAGAGACUUGGCUGAUAACAGUUCUCCAGCUGAUGAUAUGUAGGAGUGAAAACCCUGAGCAUGACCAUUUCUCUCCAGUUUACUAAAGCCUUUUCACCCAUGCAUUACUCUCCUAACCCAUCCAAACAUACCACCUAUUAGCAGAGGUUUUAUCAGCAUUAUUUUAACCUAGUCAUGAAUUUGGGCUCAAAUCUGUAGAAUAAUUGGGUUCUGUGACUUCAGAGCAAAUCCCCUGUGUAUGCAAAGGAACAUAACUUGGAUUUAUCAGACACAAACCUUGUUUUCAGUAUAUUUCUUUUCUGUUUCUUGACGUUUUGAAAACACUAGCUAUUUCUUUGCACAAAAAAGAAAUAUUAUUUACAAUCAGUUGCUGUAAGCUAGCUGCUGACUUCCAGGACAAACUUCAACCUAAAUGUUAUGGUCCCCAGGACCAAGGGGAUACAACUGCAGAUCAUCAAGAUAAGAAAUCAAGUACUUCUACAUCUGGUAUAACCUGGGACGUGUGGGCGCUUCCCCUUUGGUCACAGGUCUAUACUGGUGAGAACAUUGUAAGGAAACUAGAUAAUAUUGCACAUGAGACAGGCUAGUACAAUUUUAAUUCAACCGUGAACAGUGCCUUUCAAAAUCCCAAUGCUACAAAUAAUGCUAAAGCCUGCAGUUUGCCAGCUUUGUCUCUCAGCUCAAGUACAGCAUAGAUUGUGUCUAAAAUAUCUGUUAACAGUAAGCAGGAGCCUGAACUAUUCCAGAGGUCAAACUGACUAGGUAUCAGCCCAGCAUCAGGCAUGGCUUGUGGCAUGUCGUUGGGAGAUGAACAUGAAACCUCAUGUUUACACUUCAAUAUUUGCAUGCCUGUAGUGUUGAUGGGCAAUGUCUAGGAAACUAGUUUUGUAAGUCUGCCUAGGAAAUCAGUGGGGAGAAACAGGUCCAACAGAGAACCCAGUUAAAAGCAAGCAGCUAAACUGAUCACCUUCUCAAAAAGCCUUUUUUUUUUUUUUUUUAAUUGACUAAGAAGCAUACCAAGGACCGAUUCACAAUCCCAGUUGCAAAAUUAGGUGCUGGAAGUGACUGGGGAAAAAACCAUGCAUUUGCUCCCAUGGCCCAAACUAUUUAAAUCACAAUUUCCUAAAGCUUCUUUUAUCUGGUUAUUCAUUAUUUAAAUAUUUGCAUUCUAAGAAAUGCAAACUUUUUUCAGCCUUUGUCAGUAGAGCCCAGUCCAGUCUUCACUAGUGGUGAAGGACUUAUUUCAGAAUUAAUAACUUUGCACCUCAGACUCACAAAUUAAAACCAAGCUUGCUAUCAUACCACAUGGAAAGUAUCUGUUUGCAUUGCUGUCUUUAGACUGUGUUUCUUUCUGGCCUAAUACAAUAUUAUAAAUGCAUAUGCAUAUCUGAAAAGCUUAUGAUUUUAAUUUAUAUUCACCCUAGAGAGACAGGUAGGUAAGUCAUUAUCACUCUGAAAGAACCAUUGCAAAACAAAAUACAGGAAAAAAAAAAUCUAGAAUGGUAGUAGUACAAGGUGAUAGCAUGCCUACAUCAAUCUCUGAAAGUCUCCCCAAAAAUCAGGUUCAGAUUAUUUCUUACAUGUUCUGCAUCCCUGUUAACAAGGAGAAAGUAAGUAGAAUAAAAACCUGUGGACCUGGAUGAGUGGGAAUCAACUAUGUUAUAAUUUUGAAUUAUGGCUGGAUUUCACAAAAUGUGUGAGACCCCUGUGUCCCUUGUAUCUUUAAAACUUGCUUGCAGUGUCUAGCACAAAGCAACCUGACUACGAGAUGCAGAUUCAAAUAAUAAAUAACAUUUCUUGCAUACUGAUCGCUACACUACAAGAUGUGGCACCAUAAGAAGCAUUUGUAGCAUAUUUGAUUGUCUGCUAGCUGGACAACAGAGAAUUGAGCUGCUGGUUAAGAAGGAAGCCUUGCUUAAUGCCUGCCAGCACAUUUGACUUAGUGCCAGCAGCGGUUGUUCUCUUUGCAGUUGUUCGUCUCUGCUGAAUAGAACAGGAGCUGCCACACGUUAUAUCCUGGUGUAUUAACAAAACCUCUAAUGUGCAGCCAUUUAUGUUCAUGUGCUGGACCAUAACCUGUGGUGUGUCCAGAGCAGAUAGAUGUCCCAUUCAGCUGUGCUUCUGCAGUGGCAGUAACAUCCAGCAGAGCAGAUAGUUCAGGGUAGAAACUGUUCUAGUUUCCUUACAGUCAUAUAAAUGUUGGCAUCUGCAGUCUUCAAGAAAGAAGUGUCUUUCUUUUCAGCUGAGCUUAGAAGAGAAUCCAGAAAAGCCUGGGUAACAGAAGGUUUCUUUGCAAAGAUUUAAAAUAAACUAAUGCUGUACAUUCAGAAACUUCUGUGAGACAAAUUCUUAUUAAACACAAUUAAUGCUUUUUCUUAAGUUUAUGAGUUUUGUAACUGCAGGUGAAAGACAGUAAUUGUGUAAGUUACAUCAACUAAUGAGAACUGAAGGCAAGCUUACAGGUUCUCAGCCUCAUCUGAGUCACUUUAAAGCUAUUUCACAAUCACAAGUCUUUUGACCACCAUUUGAUAGUCAAUUGUUUCUAGCAUGUCACGCCUCCGUAGAUAAAGUCAACAACAAAGCAGAGAGAGUGCUUUUAAGACAGUGAAUUACAGACACUGGAAAUUUCCUAUUUAGAACUGGCAAGAUGUCAUUAUGUAGAAAGCAAGUAAAGCAUUUUCUUUGCCAAUGUAAAGGUGGCAGAGGACAACAUCUCCUCUAGUGAUAUUUCAAAUUGCUAUUUGAUGAAGUUGUCAGAUUGCACCAAGUAACCAUUCUCUGCAAAGGCAUGUUCUGGGGAUUUCAUUGCCUGCCUGUCACUCAGCAGGACAGCACUUUCCUAUGUGUUUCGGCUUCUGUACAAAUCACUGGCUUAUCUCAAAAUGAACACUCAGCUCGGUUGAUUUAGGAGACAGAAAGCAAGAGUGUAUCACCCAUGGCAUUCCAUCCAUCUUUACCACACAUGAUGGGGAAUGUGCUGAGUUUUUUAUUUGCUGUGAAUCAACACUAUUUCUUGCUAAAUCAAUUGCAUUCUUAUAGCAGGUGCUGUACUUCAGAAAGUAAGAUGGAGGGGUGUAGUAGCAUGAGGGGGAGCAAUUUCCCUCUCAUUUACUGCCAAAUGCACACAGCACAUGCUUUUGCUGGAUGAACUGUUCCUCACUGAACUGCUCUCCUACUAUGCUUAACCAUCUAUAGGGUUUUUAGUGUUUUUAUUUUUACUUUUUUUUUUUUUUCUCUUUUUUAGACCUUGAUUUGAGGAACAGGUACAUAUCUAGGCUCUUUGUCUUUGUUACUCCAGCACUCCUACUGUCUGCUUAGGCAGUGAAAAACAGAUGAAUACUGGUAGCAGCCUUAGGCCUGUCCCAACAAUAACCUACAUUAUGAAAAGUUUAUCUGUCUUUCCAGGAGAUUCAUACCUGCAUGUGACCGACAUACUGACCACUGUUCCUGUGACUUGUGGUGUUAUGAAUGAUUCAUUUUAGGCAGCAGUCCAAGUGAGUCUACAUCUUUAGGACAGUCAGAUAUAGUGAGAUAUGAGAUGAAAAAGUACUUACAGAUUCCCACUUACAAAGAUAAAUCCGUCUGUUUAAAGAAGUCAAGGAGAGGUAUAAGUAAGAAAAAAAUAGUCACAACUUCAUUGGAAAAUCGCUUCUUCUGGAAAGACCCUUUUUUCAGAUCCUUUGCUACUCUUCCCUGGCCUUUGACCUUGUGAUCAGAACUGGUCAAAUUGCCUGUUCUAAUGAGGUAGUGUGGAGCUGCUGGCACAGUGAGUUCAGUUGACAAAAGCUAUGAAAUCUAAAUAUGUUUUUUUUGCCUUCGAGGACAUUUCACACCUCUGUCACAACCUUACUCCCGUCUAAAUCUCCUUGGAGCUUUCAUCACCCUGUCUAAUUUUUUUUGUCAGACAUCAAGAAGGGUCAUUUACAGUAGCCUCCAGACAUAUUUGGUGUUUCUGUAGAGUCUAACUAGAAUAAACUUCGCUCAUACCAUCUCAGUGAAGACCUCAACAUCCUUCCAACAACAGCUUUUACAGACACACCUUCAUCUUCAGGAGGAAGGCAAGGUGACAUUCUGGCUCUCUGGCUCAUUCUGGCCUAAAUAACUUCUUUUAGCCUGCAAAUCCAUGUAUUAUACUUAAUACACUGAAUAAUAACACUUGCCCUUUACAAGCAAUGAAGCAUGCCCGAAGUCAUAGAGUGAAUCAGCACCAGCAAUGGAUUCAGCACUCAGAAGUUCUGCCCUCCACCUCUGCUCCCUUCACAUCCCAUCUGUCUUUGUGAGCAUUCCUGGUAUUGCUUGCAAAGGACACUUUCUCAUCAAGAUAAAGCAAAAUGAUGCUGUCACAGUAGCUGCGACAGCACUCUAAGCUCUGCUGGCUGGAGACACAUAAAGCAGUAUUUAUUAAAUACGAAAAAAGGACACAACUUUGAGGAGCAAAAUACUGUCUGUAAGCAUCUUGAAACUCACAAUGGAGUGGUAAUAAAAGUAUUGUAAAUAUGA